CUACGGGGUGCAGCAGUGGGGAAUAUUGCACAAUGGGCGCAAGCCUGAUGCAGCCAUGCCGCGUGUAUGAAGAAGGCCUUCGGGUUGUAAAGUACCUUCAGCGGGGAGGAAGGGAGUAAAGUUAAUACCUUUGCUCAUUGACGUUACCCGCAGAAGAAGCACCGGCAAACUCCGUGCCAGCAGCCGCGGUAAUACGGAGGGUGCAAGCGUUAAUCGGAAUUACUGGGCGUAAAGCGCACGCAGGCGGUUUGUUAAGUCAGAUGUGAAAUCCCCGGGCUCAACCUGGGAACUGCAUCUGAUACUGGCAAGCUUGAGUCUCGUAGAGGGGGGUAGAAUUCCAGGUGUAGCGGUGAAAUGCGUAGAGAUCUGGAGGAAUACCGGUGGCGAAGGCGGCCCCCUGGACGAAGACUGACGCUCAGGUGCGAAAGCGUGGGGAGCAAACAGGAUUAGAUACCCGUGUAAUC
rnacentral:rRNA from 1 species